rnacentral:rRNA from 1 species
ACGUGAGUAACCUGCCCUUAACUCUGGGAUAAGCCUGGGAAACUGGGUCUAAUACCGGAUAUGACUCCUCAUCGCAUGGUGGGGGGUGGAAAGCUUUUUGUGGUUUUGGAUGGACUCGCGGCCUAUCAGCUUGUUGGUGAGGUAAUGGCUUACCAAGGCGACGACGGGUAGCCGGCCUGAGAGGGUGACCGGCCACACUGGGACUGAGACACGGCCCAGACUCCUACGGGAGGCAGCAGUGGGGAAUAUUGCACAAUGGGCGCAAGCCUGAUGCAGCGACGCCGCGUGAGGGAUGACGGCCUUCGGGUUGUAAACCUCUUUCAGUAGGGAAGAAGCGUAAGUGACGGUACCUGCAGAAGAAGCGCCGGCUAACUACGUGCCAGCAGCCGCGGUAAUACGUAGGGCGCAAGCGUUAUCCGGAAUUAUUGGGCGUAAAGAGCUCGUAGGCGGUUUGUCGCGUCUGCCGUGAAAGUCCGGGGCUCAACUCCGGAUCUGCGGUGGGUACGGGCAGACUAGAGUGAUGUAGGGGAGACUGGAAUUCCUGG